rnacentral:rRNA from 1 species
AACGAACGCUAGCGGCGCGUCUUAAGCAUGCAAGUCGAAUGGCAAGCUACCUUCGGGUAGCCUAGAAUGGCGAACGGGUGAGUAACGCGUAGAUGAUCUACCUUUAGAAGGGGGAUAGCCAUGGGAAACCAUGGGUAAUACCGCAUAAUAUUAUGGAUUAUGAUUUAUAAUCAAAGGUGCAAUUGUGCCGUCUAAAGAUGAGUUUGCGUACUAUUAGCUAGUUGGUGGGGUAAAGGCCUACCAAGGCAACGAUAGUUAGCCGGCCUGAGAGGGUGUCCGGCCACAUUGGGACUGAGAUACGGCCCAGACUCCUACGGGAGGCAGCAGCUAAGAAUUUUCCACAAUGGACGAAAGUUUGAUGGAGCGACGCCGCGUGAACGAAGAAGGUCGAGAGAUUGUAAAGUUCUUUUAUGGAUGAGGAAUAACUUGGGGAGGGAACGCCCUGAGGAUGACGUUAGUCC